UACGUAGGGUGCGAGCGUUAAUCGGAAUUACUGGGCGUAAAGCGUGCGCAGGCGGUCUGUUAAGACCGAUGUGAAUCCCCGGGCUUAACCUGGGAACUGCAUUGGUGACUGGCAGGCUUUGAGUAUGGCAGAGGGGGGGUAGAAUUCCACGUGUAGCAGUGAAAUGCGUAGAGAUGUGGAGGAAUACCGAUGGCGAAGGCAGCCCCCUGGGCCCAAUACUGACGCUCAUGCCACGAAAGCGUGGGGAGCAACAGGAUUAGAGUACCCAAGUACG
rnacentral:rRNA from 1 species